GCAGCAUGAACUUAGCUUGCUAAGUUUGAUGGCGACCGGCGCACGGGUGAGUAACACGUAUCCAACCUGCCGAUGACUCGGGGAUAGCCUUUCGAAAGAAAGAUUAAUACCCGAUGGCAUAGUUCUUCCGCAUGGUGGAACUAUUAAAGAAUUUCGGUCAUCGAUGGGGAUGCGUUCCAUUAGGUUGUUGGCGGGGUAACGGCCCACCAAGCCUUCGAUGGAUAGGGGUUCCGAGAGGAAGGUCCCCCACAUUGGAACUGAGACACGGUCCAAACUCCUACGGGAGGCAGCAGUGAGGAAUAUUGGUCAAUGGACGAGAGUCUGAACCAGCCAAGUAGCGUGAAGGAUGACUGCCCUAUGGGUUGUAAACUUCUUUUAUACGGGAAUAAAGUGAGGCACGUGUGCCUUUUUGUAUGUACCGUAUGAAUAAGGAUCGGCUAACUCCGUGCCAGCAGCCGCGGUAAUACGGAGGAUCCGAGCGUUAUCCGGAUUUAUUGGGUUUAAAGGGAGCGUAGGCGGACGCUUAAGUCAGUUGUGAAAGUUUGCGGCUCAACCGUAAAAUUGCAGUUGAUACAGGGUGUCUUGAGUACAGUAGAGGCAGGCGGAGUUCGUGGUGUAGCGGUGAAAUGCUUAGAUAUCACGAAGAACUCCGAUUGCGAAGGCAGCCUGCUGGACUGUAACUGACGCUGAUGCUCGAAAGUGUGGGUAUCAAACAGGAUUAGAUACCCUGGUAGUCCACACAGUAAACGAUGAAUACUCGCUGUUUGCGAUAUACAGU
rnacentral:rRNA from 1 species